CAGUCGCCACGGUAAUACGUAGGGAGCAAGCGUUAAUCGGAAUUACUGGGCGUAAAGCGUGCGUAGGCGGUGAGUUAAGUCUGCUGUGAAAUCCCCGGGCUCAACCUGGGAAUGGCAGUGGAUACUGGCUCGCUAGAGUGUGUCAGAGGAUGGUGGAAUUCCCGGUGUAGCGGUGAAAUGCGUAGAGAUCGGGAGGAACAUCAGUGGCGAAGGCGGCCAUCUGGGACAACACUGACGCUGAGGCACGAAAGCGUGGGGAGCAAACAGGAUUAGAUACCCGCGUAGUCCCUGUCUCUUAUAC
rnacentral:rRNA from 1 species